CCGUAUGUGACUGUGGCUCGAGCCCAUGUGAAGCCUCUUCGACGAGUCGAGUUGUUUGGGAAUGCAGCUCAAAAUGGGUGGUAAAUUUCAUCUAAAGCUAAAUACUGGCUGGAGACCGAUAGCGCACAAGUAGAGUGAUCGAAAGAUGAAAAGCACUUUGGAAAGAGAGUCAAACAGUACGUGAACUUGUUGAAAGGGAAGCGCUUGCAACCAGACCUGCCCGUAGGUGAUCAGCCGCUGUUUUCAGUGGUGCACUCGCUCUGCGAUCAGGCCAGCAUCGGUUCUGGCGGUCGGAUAAAGGCCUUGGGAAUGUAGCUCCCUCCGGGGAGUCUUAUAGCCCUCGGUGCAAUGCGGCCAGCUGGGACCGAGGACCGCGCUUCGGCUAGGAUGCUGGCGUAAUGGUUGUAAGCGACCCGUCUUGAAACACGGACCAAGGAGUCUAAAACUUACGCGAGUGUUUGGGUGUUAAACCCAUACGCGGAAUGAAAGUGAACGGAGGUGAGAACCCUUAAGGGCGCAUCAUCGACCGAUCCAGAUGUCUUCGGAUGGAUUUGAGUAUCAGCGUAAUUUUUGGGACCCGAAAGGCAAGUGCCCCCCGAGAGGAUCAUCUAGAAUUUUUAGCUAAUACGUGUUACAGACAGUGAACUAUGCCUGAAUAGGGUGAAGCCAGAGGAAACUCUGGUGGAGGCUCGCAGCGGUUCUGACGUGCAAAUCGAUCGUCAAAUUUGGGUAUAGGGGCGAAAGACUAAUC
rnacentral:rRNA from 1 species